CUGCAAAUUUCUCCAAUUUUUGAAUAAUAGUUGUGUUUUUCAUUUUUCAUCCUUUUCUUCUCAUCCGGUUGGGAAAAUUGAGUCCUUUCCUCCAAAAAAAAAAUCGUUAAUUUUCCCCGAUUUCCAGACUUUCUAGAUUAUUAUUAUUAUUGUGUUCGUGGCCAUCACUACUUGUGUGUGAAUCAUUCAAAAAUUCCCUCUUCCCUCUCUCUCUCCAAGUCUUACACGAGUUUUUCCCCCCAACUUUUUUGCUCUUUUUGUGCUCUUUUUUCGAGCAUUUUAAAGUAUUUUUUAGAGGAUUUAGAUUUCAAAAGAUUUUUUUUUUUGGAAAAUUUCCUCUCCAUCUUCUUGUAUAGUAAUUAUUCCCAGUUCCCCAUAUGGCUUUUUUUUUCAUUUUUUUUCUGUUCUGGAACCCGUUUCUUCAUCAAUUACUAUUAUUAUUAUUAUUAUCAUGCGAAUAAUAAUUUUAUUUUAUGC
ensembl:ncRNA Y105E8A.36 ncRNA